rnacentral:rRNA from 1 species
UGAGGAAUAUUGGUCAAUGGGCGCGAGCCUGAACCAGCCAAGUCGCGUGAGGGAUGACGGUCCUACGGAUUGUAAACCUUCUUUUGGCCGGGGAGCAAGCGUGCGUUCGUGAACGCACGUCGAGAGUACCCGGAAGAAAAAGCAUCGGCUAACUCCGUGCC